CAGCUUCAAAAUACAAUUUUGCCAUUUGUGUAUCUACGGUAUUUUAUUGCAAGUUUAAUUUCCUCGUCACGCAAAAAGCUGCUGUUUUAUGUGCAGCUUGAUGCAUAAUUCACAAAAAAAUGGAAUUGACUUUGACUGUACUUGUAUUGCUGUUGCUUUUAACAGCCAAAUGCGAUUCAUGUCCUGGUCGAUGCAAGUGCUGCCUGACUGACAGAUGUAGUGCAACUUCAAAGGGGGACCAGGUGUGUUUAGAUGGCUGCAAGGAUGGCUAUCAUCAACCUCGUUGCAUGUGGCUAUGUUCAGGAAACUGUCAGUCUUGUCGCCAAGCUGACGGCUUAUGUCAGUCAUGUAAACCGGGAUUUCGCGAACUAUCUAGCAAUUGUUCAAAAGCAUGUGUUAACAGAAACUGCGCGUGUGC